AAUAUCUAGUAGCAAUAAUCAAUUUCCUUCAAAUUUACAAAACUUUAGCAUUCAAUUUCUUUUAAUCCAACGAUUGAAUUGAACUCAAAAUUUUUGAAGAGUAAGAUAAUAUUCUUAACUUCAAAUGGAUGAUAAUCAUAAUAAUGUGCUCGAAUGUAGGUUAGUCUUCUUCUCUUAUCUGAAUGUAAAAUUUUUAGCACCAAUUUCUUCUUAUCAAACUAUUCAAUCAAUUUUAUAAUUCUUACAUAUAAAGAAAAAUAAAUCUACUAUUUAAACAUACAAUUCCACUCCAAUCCAACUAGUAGAUUGUAAGAAAUCUUAAAAUCUUCAUUAGACCUAAAAUUCUACUUUCUGAGAUCUUGAUCCAUUUAAACCUCAAUAAUCCUCAAUUCAACUAAUAGAU
rnacentral:lncRNA from 1 species